rnacentral:rRNA from 1 species
AACGAACGCUGGCGGCAUGCCUAACACAUGCAAGUCGAACGAGACCUUCGGGUCUAGUGGCGCACGGGUGCGUAACGCGUGGGAAUCUGCCCUUAGGUUCGGAAUAACUUCGGGAAACUGAAGCUAAUACCGGAUGAUGACGUAAGUCCAAAGAUUUAUCGCCUAAGGAUGAGCCCGCGUAGGAUUAGCUAGUUGGUGAGGUAAAGGCUCACCAAGGCGACGAUCCUUAGCUGGUCUGAGAGGAUGAUCAGCCACACUGGGACUGAGACACGGCCCAGACUCCUACGGGAGGCAGCAGUGGGGAAUAUUGGACAAUGGGCGAAAGCCUGAUCCAGCAAUGCCGCGUGAGUGAUGAAGGCCUUAGGGUUGUAAAGCUCUUUACCCGGGAUGAUAAUGACAGUACCGGGAGAAUAAGCUCCGGCUAACUCCGUGCCAGCAGCCGCGGUAAU